GAUAAAUGUUGCGAUUCAGACGCUAGUUACCGAAAAUAAGCCCAAGCAUUUAUAGAUGAUAUCACAUAUUGACGAUCCCAGUUUGGGACAUAGAGGUCGCUUCUCUUUGGCUCACGUGGAUUGGCAAUAUUCCUUCCUAAUGAAGAUUGUAAGCGGCCGUAUUCAUCUAACGGAAUUUACUCCCGGUAAAAAACCGAACUUUUGGCACGUUACCAAAAGUGAUGGAGUUGACCUACCGAGGUUAUAAAAGGAACUCACUAUAAACGACUACCCGACCAGCUCCCUCCUACAGCUCACAAUCUACUAUCAAGGGCAUUCCAUACCGCCAGGCCUUCAUUACCAGGAUCAUGGAGAUAGCCUUGCUGCGCAAGGCGGGUGCUCCGGACAACUUACCAUCAUCAACGUAACGUGCCAAUCAUUCUGUUAUGGAACGCGCCAUUUCAUAAGUAUUCAUUCUUUGUUUCGAGAGGAAGGAUUGCCGAUUGUCAGUAACUGAUUCACGUUAGAGAAAACUCAUAAAGCUUCAAUAACAAUCAAAUGUGACUUGUCGGUGCUGCGUUGAUGUGAGGAUGGUGAACCCGACUUCCUAGAGGUAGGCAGGCAUGUUUAUGAAUAAACGGCGCGGACAAGCACGUCCGCUCACAGCAACAGAUUAGUCAAGAAGUGGCGUAAAAAGAGACAGAAAC